UAUUUUAUUUUUUUAAAAAAAUUAAUUUAAUUUUUUAUUUAUAAAUUCUCAUCAAUUUUUUUCUCCAAUUUUAUCCACUGGACUGUUUGAAUUUCUCUGCUUUCAAUCAUAAAACUUUUGCAACAUCUUCCUUCUAAAAUGUGACACCAAAUUGGUUGGAGAAGGCUAAGAUGAUGAUGGUGGUGAUAGUGAUGAUGAUGGUGGAGAACUGGUCAAUGUUGGAGUCAUAUGCUACCUAAUGCAGGAUUUUAAUCAAUUGUGCCUAAAUUUAGGCCUACAAAGUAGCACUUCGGCUUUUUUGACACCGGUCGCGCUAGGAGUACCAUAUAGAGGAUUUAUUAUUAUUAUUAUUAUAGACCAUUUUCAAUUUAUUGUAAUAAAUAUUAUAUUUUUAUUAUUAUUGUGAAGUAAUAUAAAUUUUGUUUAAUAUUCAGUUUAAAUUGUAUUGCAACAUUUUUUAUGUUUCAAAUACUAACAGGUU